GAAAUUCGAGCCACUGGACCUGUUCCUCCAUAAGACAAACCUUGGUAAUUGAUAUAAAUCAAUUUUUAUCUCGAACCCUUUUUUUCACCAACUUUUAAGUAUUCAAGUAGCUGGGAUUACAUGGGAGGAAUACAAAACAAUCAAAAGAAAAUGCUUCUUCCUCAUUAAAUAGCAGAUUGCACAAGCAGUUAAGUUACUUUCUUUAAGUUCCAACAGCCACAAGCCAAUCUGGUGAACAUCGUAUACGCUAACCAAGACCAGCUGAUGGAUC
rnacentral:misc_RNA from 1 species